UUUUUUUUUUAAGUAAUCUCUACACCCCACGUGGUGCUUGAACUCACGACCCGGAGAUCAAGAGCUGUAUGCUCUACCAACCAAGCUAGCCAGGCAGCCUGGAAGUAAGGUU